rnacentral:rRNA from 1 species
UACGUAGGGUGCGAGCGUUGUCCGGAAUUAUUGGGCGUAAAGAGCUCGUAGGCGGUCUGUCGCGUCGAUCGUGAAAACUUGGGGCUUAACCCUGAGCUUGCGGUCGAUACGGGCAUGACUGGAGUUCGGCAGGGGAGACUGGAAUUCCUGGUGUAGCGGUGAAAUGCGCAGAUAUCAGGAGGAACACCGGUGGCGAAGGCGGGUCUCUGGGCAUCUCCUGACGCUGAGGCGCGAAAGCGUGGGGAGCAAACGGG